rnacentral:rRNA from 1 species
UACGUAGGCAGCGAGCGUUGUUCGGAGUUACUGGGCGUAAAGCGCACGUAGGCGGACAUUUAAGUCAGGGGUGAAAUCCCAGAGCUCAACUCUGGAACUGCCUUUGAUACUGGGUGUCUUGAGUAUGGAAGAGGUGAGUGGAAUUCCGAGUGUAGAGGUGAAAUUCGUAGAUAUUCGGAAGAACACCAGUGGCGAAGGCGGCUCACUGGACGACUGUUGACGCUGAGGUGCGAAAGCGUGGGGAGCAAACAGG